UACGUAGGUGACGAGCGUUGUCCGGAAUUACUGGGUGUAAAGCGCGUGUAGGUGGUCGGCCAAGUCUGCUGUGAAAUCGCCCGGCUCAACUGGGCGGGGUCAGUGGAAACGGGCCGACUGGAGGACGGUAGAGGCUGGUGGAAUUCCCGGUGUAGUGGUGAAAUGCGUAGAGAUCGGGAGGAACACCCGUGGCGAAGGCGGCCGGCUGGGCCGGUCCUGACACUGAGACGCGAAGGCGUGGGGAGCGAACGGG
rnacentral:rRNA from 1 species